rnacentral:rRNA from 1 species
GAUGAACGCUAGCGGCAGGCUUAACACAUGCAAGUCGAGGGGUAUUGGUUUUCGGACCAAGAGACCGGCGCACGGGUGCGUAACGCGUAUGCAAUCUACCUUUUGCAGAGGGAUAGCCCCAGAGAAAUUUGGAUUAAUACCUCAUAGUAUAGUACUUUGGCAUCAAGGAACUAUUAAAGUCACAACGGCAAAAGAUGAGCAUGCGUCCCAUUAGCUAGUUGGUAAGGUAACGGCUUACCAAGGCUACGAUGGGUAGGGGUCCUGAGAGGGAGAUCCCCCCACACUGGUACUGAGACACGGACCAGACUCCUACGGGAGGCAGCAGUGAGGAAUAUUGGACAAUGGGCGCAAGCCUGAUCCAGCCAUGCCGCGUGCAGGAUGACGGUCCUAUGGAUUGUAAACUGCUUUUAUACAGGAAGAAACACUCCGACGUGUCGGAGCUUGACGGUACUGUAAGAAUAAGGAUCGGCUAACUCCGUGCCAGCAGCCGCGGUAAAG